UUUUGUUGUUGUUGUUUUUUUUUUUUUUUUGUUUAAUUUGUGUAUGUAGAAGAGCUCCGCACUAGGCAGAUCAGUGGAUUCUCUACGCUGAAUUGAGGCUGUGCAGGAAACAAACACAGUCGCUUAUUCGUUGUUGUUUUAUUUAUUUUUUGUUCUUUUCUCUUCCCGGUGUGUUGCGGAGGUUCUGUUUUUUAUAGGGUGGUGUGAGUGCAGCAAUGAAGGAGGUCCCUGCUGGUUGUGACGGUGUCGCAAAUUCUUCUGUUUGGUGUCGUCCAUCGAGCGACAAAAUUAUCGAUCGAGGUUCAAUCUCGGCAUUUGGAGUCAGGAAGUGCAGCGCUAGUGCUUUAGCAUAGAGAAGUGUGGAUCCGGUAAUAGCGUUGUUGUCGAGGAGCUCGGAUUCGAAUGUCAGCAUCUUCCAAGCUCUCUAGUUGAGGGCAACUGGAGCCAUGGUUCUACUCAGAUUAAGUUUUCUUCGACAAUAGUUUUCCUCCCUUGAGCUACAAAAAUAUAGCGGCGGCCCGGUUCGGUUCAUACUCUCUCCUUAGGUUGCGGCAGAACGUGUUGUACGUUGUGAAGUAGAUUGGAGUUUUUGCGUUGUUGCUGGGAGGCGAUGUAGGGCUGCAGUGCGAGUUUUUGGUUCUUGGUUCACAUUUAUAAUUCCGUCUAGGUACAAUAAAGCCGCCAAUUCUUAUAUAUCAGCGGUUCCUUCUUGAUCAAGGCUGCAGUAGGCAUUGAUGGCUCUUGAUAAUUACGAUUUUAGUUGUAGCAAUGCGAGCUGACGGUCGGUGGCAAUGGGGAAGAAGGUAUCAUGUGUGGGUGUGCGCAUUGGAUAAUUCACACCUAAUUCAAUGGACUUUAAUUAUUUCUCUCUUGUUGCGCGUGAUUGGUACCCUGACGUGGUCGAGUGCAGAGUUCUGACCUAGUACCGUCGGAAGGAUAUCGAGUUGGUUGCACAAAGUGUGUACAUGCAAAUCUGAUCAGUGGGGCUACAAUGUUUGCGUUGAGUUGGCUGUCAACGACGUUGGGCCCUCGAGUUGCUUAGUCUUGGAAGGAUAAUCAAGGACCACCUCAGUGAAGUGAUCAAUUAUUAGCCGAACGUCUCAUCAUAAAAGCUGCGGCACCAUUAACAUCAUUUUGUGCACAUGUCGAUCAGCGUUGCAUUCAAAGGCUAAUACGAGUGGGGCAGAAAUUGUCUGUUCUUUGAGGUGAUUGAAUGGAAGGCAUUGUGUAGGUAUAGUGGUGGCUUGCAAACCAGGUUGUACCACUAGUAGAGUAGUUUUGAUUCUUAAUAGGAGGGUGCUUAGUCAAGGUAAACGUUGGAGAGAAAAGGCGCUCUUCAUCCUCACGAUCCUGCUUCUUGAUGAGCCCUGCAGCCAGAUCGAUACAUCAAAGUUGUUGCACCCAAGAGUUGAAGAUUUUUGUGCGGUGAACUGUUGGCUUGGGGGUGGCAUCGUGUGGCCAUAUUGCCUUCAUGUGCUGGUGCUAUUCCACUGAGUGAAUUGGAAUUUGCUGCGCAUCCAUCUUCAACUUUCACUGCUGGAUCGGGUGUUCGACACAGAUGCAAUUAAAGACUCAUGUGAUCAUUUAGAUUCCAAAAUCCACAACUAUUGAGUUAAUCAAAAUUCUAAUUCUUGCUA